rnacentral:rRNA from 1 species
UACGUAGGUGGCAAGCGUUUGUCCCGGAUUUAUUGGGUUUUAAAAGGGUGCGUAGGCGGCUUAUUAAGUCAGUGGUGAAAUACUCUAGCUCAACUAGAGGGGUGCCAUUGAUACUGAUGAGCUUGAGUACAGAUGAGGUAGGCGGAAUUGACGGUGUAGCGGUGAAAUGCUUAGAUAUCGUCAAGAACACCUAUAGCGAAGGCAGCUUACUAGGCUGUAACUGACGCUGAGGCACGAAAAGUGUGGGGAUCAAACAGG